rnacentral:misc_RNA from 1 species
GAUGAAGAACGUAGUGAAAUGCGAUAAGUAGUGUGAAUUGCAGAAUUCAGUGAAUCAUCGAAUCUUUGAACGCACAUUCCGCCCCUUGGUAUCCCGAGGGGCAUGCCUGUUCGAGCGUCAUUUCACCACUCAAGCCUGGCUUGGUGUUGGGCGACGUCCCCUUUGGGGACGCGCCUCGAAACGCUCGGCGGCGUGGCACCGGCUUUAAGCGUAGCAGAAUCUUUCGCUUUGGAAGUCGGGGCCCCGUCUGCCGGAAGACCUACUCGCAAGGUUGACCUCGGAUCAGGCAGGGAUACCCGCUGAACUUAAGCAUAUCAAUAAGCGGAGGA